GCCACCAUGAAAGCUCAGUGGUAGAGGAACUGAACUUGUAAACCAGGGGUCGUGAUUUCAAUCCUCACUGGAGGCU